rnacentral:rRNA from 1 species
CACCGCGGUUAUACGAAAGGCCCAAGUUGACAAGUAACGGCUUAAAGGGUGGUUAAGGUUUUUCAUUUAAACUAGAGCUGAAUUUCUUCAAAACCGUUAUACGUUUACGAAAAGCAGAAGACCAACUACGAAAGUGGCUCUAACCCCUCCCUGACACCACGAAAGCUAUGGAA